CAACCCAGCUUUCUAACUUUAGGAUACGUGGUAGUCCAAAAACUCGUUGGUAGAGUAGGCCGGCAUUAGUUUGUAAAUGGACCACCAUUCAAGAAGCCCAAACCGGCAUUCGUUGCCCAUAUGAAUAUGAUGAACUUCAGUUUUCCCAAUUGGAGAAGUGGCAGAAAACAGCUGAAGUCUGAUUAAUGGAGUGUGCCGGGAAGGGGAGUGGAACUCGGUGCUUAGGCCCCGCUAGAAAGCGUUGCGGUCGCUGUGGAGCCGUUUCUUAUUGCUCUGCUUCUCAUCAGAUUUCUCACUGGAAGGUGCAUAGAGAAGAGUGUGAAAGGUUAGAGCAGCAAAUGAGGAACUUAGAUUUGUUGAAUGAUUUUCCUUUUACGUUUUCCCAAGAAUCUACGGUUCAGAUUAGUGAAAAGCAAGAGAGCAGGUGUUCCUUCUUGAGAAAGAGGGGCAUUCAUCAAGUGGGGUUGUGGGUUUGUGAAUGCCGUUGUGGUGCAUCGGUUACAUCCUUUGGUAAUUCCAGGCUUGAAAGUGAUACCUGGAAUCUCUCAAAUAUCUUGUGCCCAUGUCGUGGGCCUUCAUCUCCAAUAGCAAAAGCAUUGUGCAGUUGGAAGGAUUACUAUGAAUGGAGGUGCAUACCAUUACAAUCACCUGUUUCUUUGCUGCUCCACUGGCCACUUACAGUGUAUCAUUCAAUACAACUUGCUGGAUUGGGAAGCUUGACCUCUGAAAUCAGUAAACUUUGCAUACACUAUCUUGGACCUGAGAAGGAGCUCCUUCAGCUUGCUGUCUUUGGAGAAUUACGUGCACUCUUUCCUGGGGUUUUUGUUCAAAUUGAGCUUAUUGGACCUGCAGUUCCACAUCAUAGGGAUGGUGAUAAGAUUGAUCUACACAGCUAUGCUCAUUGCAUUGAGCAAGAUUGUGAUUGCAGAUACAAAAAUGAGAACACCAGCUGCAGUAUAGGUCAUACAUCUUCUGCAGUGACACUGCAACUACAUAGAGGAUAUUAUCAUGAACGUUUCUUAGAUAUAUCUAAGGAUUCCCACCCACACUUAGUUAUUGCUCCAAAUGCUGGCAUUGCAGCUUAUGCAAGUUGGUUGCCCACUAUAGAGCUAAUAAAGGAGAUAAAUGUCCCUGCAGUAUUUUCUGAUUAUUGUGAAGAAGCUUGUAAUCUUGCUGCUUGCUGCAUAAAUGCUGUUACAAACCAGCCUCCCAGGCUUCCUAUUCAGUUAAAUCCAUUCAGGCAGCCAAUGGUGGUGGAAGACAGUCUACUGCAUCUUCCUUGCUAUUCCAAUUGCUUCCUAUUUGCUAUGUGAACUGCUUUGCUCUCAAUUAUACACAUAUUCAGCGGAUUUCAUUAUUUUCAUGCGAGGAUAUAGGGGUCUUACAUGAAAGGAGAAUAUAAACCAAGGAAGAAAUCAAGGAAAUUACAUGGCUAUACCUAUGAGCACCAAGUUCGGUUAGCACUUGCUAUCCUUGCUGUAAAACAUGUGACAUAUAAAAAGGCAUUCUUUUGUGGAUGACAGACAUGUGAUGUUGGAUUCCUGGUGUUUCUGGCAAAUGCUGCAACUGAGGCGGAACCGUCAGGGGGCAAGUUUUUUAAUAGCUUUGCUCAUUUUCACAUGAGCCACCGUUUAAGGGCACUAAUUGGCUUUUAGCGGGGUGGGCGACAUCAUUCCGAUCCUAGGAGCCUAGUAGGAUUGUCAUUCCAUCAUUUUGAUAUCCUCAGGUACAAAAUUAUUAUGAGGAAAAAUUUGGAUUCCAUUGAAAAUGAUUUUUGGAAAACGACUUAUUUUUUUUAAAAAAUUAAUAUUUUUUUGUGUUUAAAUGAAAUUGUGUAAAAUAUUUUUUUUUUGUUUGGCAGAUAUUCGAAAAUAUUUCAUAAAAAUUGUUUUUAAUGAAAUAAACAUAUAUUUGAGAUUUAUGAUAAAAGUUUAAAUGAAGUAGUGAAUUGAUUACAAA